CAGUAGCCACGGUAAUACGUAGGUGGCAAGCGUUGUCCGGAAUUAUUGGGCGUAAAGGGCUCGCAGGCGGUUUCUUAAGCCUGAUGCGAAAGCCCCCGGCUCAACCGGGGAGGGUCAUUGGAAACUGGGAAACUUGAGUGCAGAAGAGGAGAGUGGAAUUCCACGUGUAGCGGUGAAAUGCGUAGAGAUGUGGAGGAACACCAGUGGCGAAGGCGACUCUCUGGUCUGUAACUGACGCUGAGGAGCGAAAGCGUGGGGAGCUAACAGGAUUAGAUACCCGAGUAGUCCCUGUCUCUUAUAC
rnacentral:rRNA from 1 species